GAGGGGAUUUGAGAAUAGCUAGCUCCCGAUGGAUUUCGAGAACAAUCGGUGGAGAAAAGAAGGAUAAGUCCAACGACUGACCCUACCAGGGAGAGGGAGAGAAGCUGGCUUGGUCUGGCCUGUCACCAAGAAUGAUCGGUGAAGAGAAGGAAAGAGAAGAUGGGGGAGUAGAUCAGCACUCCAUCAAAAAAUGAUCCACCAUCGAAAAGGACCGGUGAAGAGGGAGAAAUAGAGAGUUGGAGGAGGAAGAAGAGAGAGAACAAGAGAAAGGAAGGAAGGUGAAAGUGAGGGGCAUUGCCACCGUCUGGCUACAGUAGAAAGAAGGAGAGAGAGAGAGAGUGGGAGAGAGGGAGGGAGGAGGCGAAAGAGUGGGGGGGUCAGCCUUCCACCAUCCAACGCCCAUUGGAGGGAGAGAUUCGUUGAAGGGGACUGAAACUCAAAGAGAAGAGAGGGAGGUGGAGGAAGACGGAACUCAAAGAGAAGACAGGAGGGAGAGAGGGAGAGGGGAAUAGAGGGAGGGAGAGAGAGGAACAAGAAGAGAAAGGGGCUUGGCAACGGCCAUC
rnacentral:lncRNA from 1 species